CGGGGUGCAGCAGGCGCGAAAACUUUACAAUGCUGGCAACAGCGAUUAGGGGACCUCGAGUGCCAGGAUACAAUCCUGGCUGUCGUAAUGCCUAAAAAGCAUUGCAUAGCAUGGGCCGGGCAAGACCGGUGCCAGCCGCCGCGGUAACACCGGCGGCUCGAGUGGUAACCGCUAUUAUUGGGUCUAAAGGGUCUGUAGCCGGCUGACUAAGUCUCUUGGGAAAUCUGGCAGCUCAACUGUCAGGCUUUCAGGAGAUACUGAUCGGCUCGAGACCGGGAGAGGUGAGAGGUACCUCAGGGGUAGGGGUGAAAUCUUGUAAUCCUUGAGGGACCACCAGUGGAGAAUGCGUCUCACCAGAACGGAUCUUAUGGCAAGGGACGAAAGCUAGGGGCACGAACCGGAUUAGAUACCCGGGUAGUCCUAGCCGUAAACGAUACUCGCUAGGUGUCGGCCACGGUGCUACCGUGGUCGGUGCCGUAGGGAAGCCUUGAAGCGAGCCACCUGGGAAUUACGGUCGCAAGGCUGAAACUUAAAGGAAUUGGCGGGGGAGCACAAA
rnacentral:rRNA from 1 species